rnacentral:rRNA from 1 species
GAGAGGUGCUGCAUGGCUGUCGUCAGCUCGUGUUGUGAAAUGCUGGGUUAAGUCUCGCAACGAGCGCAACCCCUAUCGUCUGUUGCCAGCAUUAAGUUGGGCACUCUGACGAGACUGCCUGGGUUAACCAGGAGGAAGGUGGGGAUGACGUCAAGUCCUCAUGGCCCUUAUGUCUAGGGCUACACACGUAAUACAAUGGCGCGUACAAAGGGAAGCGAACCCGCAAGGGGGAGCAAAUCUCAAAAAGCGCGUCUCAGUCCGGAUUGGAGUCUGCAGCUCGACUCCAUGAAGUUGGAAUCGCUAGUA